CGGACGGGUGAGUAACACGUGGAUAACCUGCCUAUAAGACUGGGAUAACUUCGGGAAACCGGAGCUAAUACCGGAUAAUAUAUUGAACCGCAUGGUUCAAUAGUGAAAGACGGUUUUGCUGUCACUUAUAGAUGGAUCCGCGCCGCAUUAGCUAGUUGGUAAGGUAACGGCUUACCAAGGCAACGAUGCGUAGCCGACCUGAGAGGGUGAUCGGCCACACUGGAACUGAGACACGGUCCAGACUCCUACGGGAGGCAGCAGAC
rnacentral:rRNA from 1 species